AGAAAUGUAGCUCAGUGGUUAGAGCAGGAUAUGUCACUUAUUGCUAGUUGCCUUGUUUUAAAAGAUAGGUAUUGGUUUCGUAGAUAAGAGUUACUUCUGGGGAAUUGUAGUACAGGUUCGAAUCCUGUUCAGUUUUA
rnacentral:tRNA from 1 species